rnacentral:rRNA from 1 species
AGAUUGAACGCUGGCGGCAUGCCUUACACAUGCAAGUCGAACGGCAGCACGGGAGCAAUCCUGGUGGCGAGUGGCGAACGGGUGAGUAAUACAUCGGAACGUGCCCAAUCGUGGGGGAUAACGCAGCGAAAGCUGUGCUAAUACCGCAUAAGAUCUACGGAUGAAAGCAGGGGAUCGCAAGACCUUGCGCGAAUGGAGCGGCCGAUGGCAGAUUAGGUAGUUGGUGAGGUAAAGGCUCACAAGCCUUCGAUCUGUAGCUGGUCUGAGAGGACGACCAGCCACACUGGGACUGAGACACGGCCCAGACUCCUACGGGAGCAGCAGGUGGGGAAUUUGGACAAUGGGCGAAAGCCUGAUCCAGCCAU